AUUGAACGCUGGCGGCAGGCCUAACACAUGCAAGUCGAGCGGUAGAGAGGUGCUUGCAUCUCUUGAGAGCGGCGGACGGGUGAGUAAUGCCUAGGAAUCUGCCUAGUGGUGGGGGAUAACGUUCGGAAACGGACGCUAAUACCGCAUACGUCCUACGGGAGAAAGCGGGGGAUCUUCGGACCUCGCGCCAUUAGAUGAGCCUAGGUCGGAUUAGCUAGUUGGUGAGGUAAUGGCUCACCAAGGCGACGAUCCGUAACUGGUCUGAGAGGAUGAUCAGUCACACUGGAACUGAGACACGGUCCAGACUCCUACGGGAGGCAGCAGUGGGGAAUAUUGGACAAUGGGCGAAAGCCUGAUCCAGCCAUGCCGCGUGUGUGAAGAAGGUCUUCGGAUGUAAAGCACUUUAAGUUGGGAGGAAGGGACAGUUACCUAAUACGUGAUUGUUUUGACGUUACCGACAGAAU
rnacentral:rRNA from 1 species